CGCCGAAACCGGGCCAGCGCGGCCCGGUCGUGGCGGGGUGUUUCCCGCCGCCUGACGAUGGCAGACACCA
rnacentral:hammerhead_ribozyme from 1 species